UUUGUCCCCUCGUCAUCCUGAACCUGCUGAGUGUUUCGUUUUUCCUCCUCACAGCUCUCCCUCUUUAAUAGUCACGCACCAGCUCUGGUGCUGCCCCAUUCCUCUAGCAAUGGGGAAUAAAACCAUCCAUCCGUAAUCCCACUCUCAUCAGAAAAGGCAAAUAAUGACUAACAGUGUUUUAUUCAUUAUAGCUAAUUACAUUUGCUAUUAUAAAAGGUUCAAGUCGUUUUUUUCUCACUUCACAUCAGAUAGUAGAAGAAAAUGGGGAAAUUGUUAUGUAAAGAAAGUCAGGCAAAGAGCUGACAAAUACUUCUCUCAUACGUAAAAUGCCAGGAGAUGGACGCAGACCAGGAUACCUUGUGGUGAUGUCUGCUAAAUAAAUAAAGUGCUCCCAGUGACGCUGGAGUGAAA
rnacentral:lncRNA from 1 species